UCAUCAAGAGCGGUGGAGGGAAAGGCCCUAUGAAGCCGCGGCAACCCUUGCGAGAGCAAAACGGUGCCAAUUCCUGCAGGUAUAUCCUGGGAGAUGAU
rnacentral:ncRNA from 1 species